rnacentral:misc_RNA from 1 species
GGACAAGCUACCAUUUCCAAAUAGCAUUAUUAUAUCACCAAAAUGUCACUUCACUACUCUUUGCUUUGUAAAUGUUAGGGUUUCAAAUGGGUCUUUGAAAAAGAAGAAGCCAAAGCUCUUGAAUUGCGCUAAUCUGCUCAGUUCUACAAGUGUAUCUUCGAUUCAUCGUUUAAUCAGAGGGAGGAGUGUUAAUAAGGGGUUUAUUGGUGCAAGUUUUGUUAUGUUGAAGAUGGGUGGAAUAGAAGGUACAACUGCAAUGUCUGAUGCGAGAACGGGGAACAUGAUUUUCGAAUCUAUUUUGGAGGAAGGAGUCUUUCGUUUUGAUUGCUCUGCAGAUGAUAGAAAUGCAGCAUUUCCGAGUAUUUCCUUUGUUGAUCCAAAAGUUAGGGAGACACCGUUAAUGUCUAUACAUAAAGUUCCAUCAUAUAUUCCUACUUUUGAAUGUGUCAGGGGACAACAAAUUGUAAAUAUUGAGCUUCCAUCAGGUACCUCAUUCUAUGGAACUGGGGAGGUAAGUGGUCAGCUUGAAAGAACUGGGAAAAGGAUUUUGACAUGGAAUACUGAUGCAUGGGGUUAUGGUCCGGGAACUACGUCCUUGUAUCAAUCACACCCGUGGGUGCUUGCUGUUCUUCCCAGUGGCGAGACACUUGGAGUUCUGGCAGAUACAACACAUCGAUGUGAGGUUGACUUGCGACAAGAAUCCAAUAUAAGAUUUAUCAGUCGACAGUCCUUCCCUGUUAUUACAUUUGGCCCAUUUCCUUCACCAAUUGAUGUUCUUGUAUCCCUCUCUCAUGCUAUCGGAACUGUGUUUAUGCCUCCAAAGUGGUCCUUGGGUUAUCACCAAUGCCGAUGGAGCUAUGUUCCGGAUACUCGUGUUCGUGAGAUUGCAAGGACCUUUCGGGAGAAGAAGAUUCCCUGUGAUGUCAUAUGGAUGGACAU